UGGGGAAUAUUGGACAAUGGGCGAAAGCCUGAUCCAGCGACGCCGCGUGAGUGAUGAAGGCCUUCGGGUUGUAAAGCUCUUUCGUUGGGGAAGAUUAUGACGGUACCCAAAUAAGAAGCUCCGGCUAACUUCGUGCCAGCAGCCGCGGUAAUACGAAGGGAGCUAGCGUUACUCGGAAUCACUGGGCGUAAAGAGUGCGUAGGCGGUUUUGUAAGUCAGAAGUGAAAGCCCAGGGCUCAACCCUGGAAUUGCUUUUGAAACUGCAUAACUUGAGUGUUGUAGGGGAUAGCGGAAUUCCUAGUGUAGAGGUGAAAUUCGUAGAUAUUAGGAGGAACACCGGUGGCGAAGGCGGCUAUCUGGACAACAACUGACGCUGUUGCACGAAAGCGUGGGGAGCAAACAGG
rnacentral:rRNA from 1 species